rnacentral:lncRNA from 1 species
CUUAAAACUUUACGGCUCUUCAUGAUACGCACGAUUGCGGCAUCGAUAGAAAAUCUUCUGUCCUUGUCGACAUCUUCGAUUAUCUUCUUCUUCUCCUCUACUAAGGGGAGAGGUAUCUGUAACCCAAAUAAGUCAUAUUAAUGUAUACGUGACACACUAUACGAGGACAAAGAUGGAUGGUUUUUCUCUAAUUUUUUUUUUCCUUCAUUGCAUUCUGUGGGCUAAAUUUUCUUGGGUUGUUUGCAUAUUACACCAGCAAAUAUACGAGUCACCAAAAUACCCCCAAAAGUCUUGCUAAGUUGCACGUAUGCCAUACAGCAAAAAUCGACAUGAAAAACUUCAACUGAUAUCGCUAAUUUUUUUUCUCCCGUACGUACCAUAAACGUGGCACACACGCAAAUAAACAGGGUUUUCAGGAACAUGCACACAAAUACAAACCUCACACGGUUAUCGAUGCAAUGUUCUUACUGAAUGGGAAAGUACGCAAAAAACCAUUUUUUUUCUUGAAUUGACUAAAAUACCCCUAAUGCAAUUUGCAGAAAAGUUGUGCACAGACAGAAAGAAAUGAAGCAAUUGCACAGCAUCUUGGACAGGUGUUUUUUUUUUUUUUUUUUUUUUUUUUUAUUGCGAGUAGAAGAUUGUACCUUGAUUCUUCUCAUCUUGUCGGUGAACUUCAAAUUGAACUCAAAAACAUCAGUCGGAGAGAUGGAUCUGGUAUUCGGCUCUUUUGUGAGAAUCUUGUAUCUCGCGCAGGAGAGGGAAUGCAACAAUCUCGCAACAUCGUUCUCCGACAAUUGCAGCCGCUCCACAAUAUCCGAAUAACUCAAUCUAUCCGCGGCAUUGAAUAGCAGCAAAAGAGCAGCCUGUCAAACAAGAAAGACUGUCAGUCUGUCACUACAAAAUUUGACAGUAAACGCUUUUCGGCUAUUAUACUACUUUACAUAAUGUUGUGCUCAAAUUGUAUUAAAGCGAACAGAAAACAAAAACCUGAUAGGUUGUGACAAUCAGCUCCAUAGUUUUGGGCUCGAAGUUGCCGUUGACGAUGCAGGUGCCCAACGAGAAUAUCCAUGUAAGCUUCCUGCGCUUGGUUUUCGCCGCGUAAAACUCUUUGAAAGCCCCAACACACUUCAGCUGGAAAAGGAAAGAAAAUUCGAACAAUAUAGCCAAACAAUGCGAGCACAAAAACAGCCUUAGAGGAAGAAUGAAAUCGGUUACCAUCUCGGCAGGAAGGCUGACGUCAAAGGAUUUGUAAGUAGGCCAGAUUCCGGCUGUCAAGACUGUCACCGUGAAAUCUAGAUCAAGAUCCACAUGAGGGUCAGAAUCUAAAUACUCCUCAAAACUCGCUUGGUUUUCUCUCGCGAGUGUAAUAUCGGUAGCCAUUCCCUCCAAUUUUGAGGUGAGUUGCCCUCCGCACUCCUGCUUCAACUUCGCGAGAAAACUCCUUUCAUGCUCGUCACUAGCAUUUCUUUCGAAAAGCAACCUCCUAGCGAGCUUCUUCCUACAGAUUAUUUUACAUAAAUAGGUCGAUAAGCCUACGAAAGUGAUAUCACUAGAAUAAGAGCAUGAAAGCCAUUGCAACAGAUAAAAUCAGUUACCUGUAAAACUCUGCAAAAAGGUCCUUGUCGUGGAUAAAAGCGAGCAACUUUACGACCUGUGAAGUAUAACGAUUUAGAUGAGAUGAGCGAGACUAAAGAGCUGUAAAAGAUACAGAGACAUCCAAUGAAAUUGGAACGACACGGAGAAGAUUAGCAUUGGCCUUGCGCAAGGACGAUAUGCACAAAUCGAGAAAUGGUUCAAAAUUGUGUUAUGUUGUUUUUCCUGGGUGAAAUUGAAUGUACGAGUUUUAUUUAUGCCUUUAAUAGGGAGGGAAAACUCUAUUCGUUCGACGGAUCUGUACACGCACCCGCAUUGUCUCCGCUGUGCAAUGGGGUGGGGCGUGACAAAUUAAGGUGCACAAGAAGAGUGACGAGAAGGGCGAGUGACAGGGAUUUACGUACCGUCUCGAGCAUCUCUUCAAUAGCUUCACCACUUAGUUUCUCGCCUCCGCCAUUCUUUAGCGCAUUAUCACAAAAGCUAGCCAACAACUCCGCGCUCGAACUCCCCAUGAUGUUUUUGUUGCAGAAAAACUCGCACGCCUCUUUGAGCGCCUAAUGUAAGGGAGGAAAAGGUGAAAAAUAUCCUCUCUCUUUUCCAUCGAGAUUUGGAAAACAAGAGCAGUACUAACCUUAUGGAAAAGGGAGUCAUUCUGGAAGCAAUCAUUCACGUAGGCCAAGUUCUUGUCGUGAAGCGCGAUAACUUUUCUAACGAAGCUCUGCGAUUUGAGAAUCGACUGGUUAGAACAAGUAGUGCUAGCAGCCAAAUCAAUCAGUUUGGAGUGACAAAAAGUGUCGAAGACAAACCUGUUCUUGCAGACCGACAAUGUCCUUUUUAUUCCCCUGCAGAGACGUCGUUACAAUUAGAGAAUAAAAAAAAAUUCAGAUAUACACCGAAAUAAUAGGAUUAAAAAUCAGCAAGAGUUGUCACUGAAUCCAACAGAUAUACGCCGAUAAUCAGAAGUUCUCAAUGACCAUCAACUUAACUACUUUCAUGAACAAACUUAGGCGAAACUCAAAACUUGCCGCAUAACAUAAUAAGACGAGAGAAGUGAUGUUCACCUGCUUAUUGCUGGCAGAAUUCUCCGCUUGCUUCACCAGCGCGGUACCUUCCGCAACGACAUGCUACAUAAAAGUGAUCAUUUUAGAUGUUGCGAAAACCAAGCAAAACAAAAAGAAAGGAGCACAAUGUACAAAGUAAGCAAAGACGAAGCAUCCGAACCUGCUUGAACAUCUCCGAAACUUGUUCUAGCACAUUAGUGAUCUUACUGAACAGCCUAUACAUCCUCGAAAGAUCGUCCACCUAAAACACAAAGAACAAGACACAUGGCCGUCAAUCUCCGUCGCCAUAACAAAAGAAGAGAAAAGAAAAGACAAAAAGAAAGAAAAUCCUUUUUUUUUUAUCUAUUUGACCUUCUCGUCACGAAGCAAUGCACGGAAGCCGAAAUAUUCGUUCUCCAAAAGCUGGCUCGCGUGCUCAAUCAGUAACUUACGUUGUACUUUCUGCCGACAUCACAAGAAUGAGAGAAAAAUAGAAUUAUGGAAUCAAUAACGCAAAGAUUCUGGUAACAAAAAGUGUCAGAACUUCUCCGCAUGAAUCGAUAAAAUCGGAGAGAUAAAUAAGUACCUUCAACAAUUUCUCUCCGCUGUAAUAGUGCAGGUAAUGAGCAACUCUAUCCUUUUCGAUCUUUAAGCACUCCUCAGCCUACAACAAGCAACAAAAAAUCCGUGUAAUUUCACGUCUACUCGUCGAACAAGAGUUUUCGUAUAUUUAUCGGAUUAAAGGAAUUACGUACAUUUCGUAUGUAAUCCAGACAUGACUUCUCCAAAAUCCACUCUGAAGCCUUUCGAGAAUAAUAUGCAGAAGUAUGCUUGAGGAAGAAUUUUUCAAAAUCUUCUGUGUAGUAGUCCAACUCCGACGCUCCAAUCUCGACAAAAAUAUCCACGAUAUUCUUCACUAAGGCUUUGUCGAUCUGUUCGCCUUCACGUUCUUGAUCAAUCUAUAUAUCAAAUUGUAUAGUUAGCGCUUAGCGACGCGAAAAGCUUAGAAACUAAUGCGGUCAAAAGUUUAGAAAGAUGUGCAGCUACGUACCAACGAGAUCACUGUAUCUUUCGCUUUGCCCUUCACCUCUUCAUAAACCUAAAUCAAACCAGAGAAAAGAGAAACACGUAGGAUAGCUAUUACAUUCGAAAUAGUAGAUAAAAAAUAGUUAAAAAAGAAUUCGUCGAUUACUGAACAAACACAUAGGAUUAUCUUUUUACUAAGUUUUCGCAAGAAAUUGAACAAUGAUGCCAAAUUAUGCAUUUGAAAGUGUAGAAACUCUAUGUGCCAGUCACAUACCAGAUUGCGAAAACACGUCAGAGCGACGGCGCUAAGAUUAGGCUUUUUCGACUUCUUAACGUAGUGACGCUCGAGAUGAUCGAAAAAACGUGAGAGCCAGCGAAACAUAAGUCGAUGAUUUGACCAUUGUUUAAGUAGCUCCUUCAACAUGAAUUCAUCGUGCUUCUCUCUCAAUGAAGGCAACACCUGCAGUUCAUGAAGCUUUUCACGACUUACAAUACGCAAAAACGGACUCAACGAAGUACUUUUCGUCCAUUUAUUACAAAGAGUUAUGCUAUUAGCAGGGACAAAGUUACUACUUACAGAUAAAUACAUUGAAUCUUGUCAUAUCUGUUACUGUCAUAAAUAAUAGUACUCACCACUGAAGUGAUGUAGUCGUCGAACACUGCCUUAUACUUGUCAUACAAGUCCUCGUCGUACUGAUAAGGACUUUUCUGCGAGCACAUCAUGUAGACAGUUCUGAUCCAAAACAAUACCAUCAGAAUAGUUGUUAACAUUGAAAAAAAAAAAUCAAAAAACUAAAGUUGUUAGAAUGUUUCAAAAACAACUUCAUUGAAAAAAAGAAAGAGCAGAUACAUGUAAAAAGUUGUGCACCCUACAAAAAUUAAAAAUAAAGUAAAUUCUCUAGAGUUUUAAAAUUGUGGAUUGUCCCUGUAAAGUUUGAAGGGUAAACUUCAAAUUGCCCCCUUGUGGUUUAGCUCGUUUUUACUUCGCCACUCCGUGGUUCAAAAAGUCUCACUUUGCCCCUUCUUACAGUUUAGCAUAUUUUUAUCGAUAGAGUUUUAAAUCACGGGGUACUAAAGUAAGAAAGUGCGAAACCACCAUCUCGAGCUAAUCACGGGGUAUCAUCAGAAUAGUUGUUUUAAAAAUAAAGUAAAUUCUGUAGAGUUUUAAAUCACGGAGUAUUAAAAUGAGAAAGUGCGAAACCACAAGGUACUAACUUGAUACACUUUAAACCACAGGUUACUAAAAUAAAAAAGUGCGAAACCACAAGGGGGUUUUUGGCGUUUUUCUAAAGUUUAAUGAGUUUUUUUGCCCGAAUUGAAAUUUCAGGCGCCUGUUUGCAAAUGAGCUAAAGUUUUAGAUGAUCUCCGUACAUUUUACCGAAAAAAAUAAAAAGAUAAGAGAGAGAACCAUACGUGUACAAAUUUAUGUAUGCCUUGGCGCUGAAAUUGGUUUUAUCUCGCCCUUGUAAGAUGUUCUUGAUCUUUCUAAUCCCUUCCUCUACGAAGCCCCAUCCCACCUCAAAUUCCUUCACCACCAUCUCGAGCGAAUCCCACGUCUCAAUCUCCAUCCCUACAACACAAUCAAAGUCCAAGCACAAAAUCAAAAGCGGCGGAAAACUAAUUUUUUGUUUAUUUAUAUAAUAAUUUUUUAUUUAUAACUUUUUUUCCUUUUUUAACUAAAAAAUCGUGACGAAAAACUAAUUUUUUUAGCGUAAAAUUUAUUUUCCUCCGAAAAUUUUUUUUUCCCACCGAAAACGAAAACUUGUAGAAGAAAACACGGCUCACGUACAGUAAAUGCAUUGCGGUCCACGAGCUUAGGGUGAGAGCUCGUGGACCGCGUGAGUGUGGUCCAUGCUGGACCACACACCCAUCUCUCUCUCUAUCUCGUAAAUGUAUAUGUAUAUAUAUAUAAGAGAGAGAGGAUAAAGAAUUAUUAUAUAUAUUUUAUAUUUUUAUUAUAUAAUUAAUAUAGUGUUAUAUAAAUACUAGGAUAUAUAUUAUAUUAUAUACUUAUUAUAUCAAUUUAUUAUAUAAUAUGAUUUUGAUAUAUCUAAUUUAUUUAGAAAUAUAAAUUAUAAUAAUAAUAAAUAUAUUGUGAUAAUUAUUAUAUAUUAAUGAUAUAUAAUAUAAUAUAUAGAAUAGGAGAAAAUAUAUAAUAGUUUUUUUAUUUAUCUUUUUCUUAUUAUUUUUUUUUUCAACCAAACAAUCGUGAUAAAAAAAUCAUUUUUUCUUUUCUAUGAACCAAGCACUGAAAAGCGUAAAAGAGUGACAAAGUAAAAAAUUAAAAUUCAUCCUAAUGAAAAAUACGGUAAUGAUCGUGCGUCGUGAAUCAUCACCUUUUCGUUGUCAGAGACUCACCGAACACGUUCACGAUUAAACCUUAAAGUGUCUCGAUUUUUUUUUUUUUUUGGUAAGGAGUGUCGUAUCUGUUUAUCGACACUUAUAAUGCAAUUUCGACGCACGAGCGCGGCAGGUAACAAGUUAAUCGGAACAUUAACGAAAAGUGUAACCAAAAAAAAAGAAAAAAACACUCAUAGAAUAUAACGCAAAAAAAAAAAAUACCACAUGAAGAAGAAAACUACAUGAAGAGUAUCUAAAGUUAAAAAUAAAGAAAAGAAAAAAAAAAAAAAGAAAAAGAGAGAGAAUUAAGAAAAAAUAAAAUGCAAACUUACGAUCUUCGAUCAACACCAUGUUCCAACGCCCCAAGCCCUAAUUCCGUGGUUUUUUUAAAAAAAUUUUUUAACGCAUCAAUAAAACGGGAAUUUAUUUAUAGAAAACGGUAGGUAAUGUUAUUUGUAUUCUAAUCCCAUAAGAAAUAAUAAUAAAAUAAUUAUAAUUAUUAUUAAAAUUAGCGGGUUAGGAUAAUGGGAUUUUACUAUUUAAGUCGGAUUACGAUUCGGGUUUGUUAUUCUUAGUUGGAUUCGAAUUAUGAAUCCGAUACUGAUAUCAGUUUUUUUUUUAUUUUUUCAUAUUAUUAAACGUUAUUUCUUUUUUUAGAAUCUUGAAAAUAUUUUAAAUCUUUUUCUUUUUUUUUUUCCCCUCCACUCCUCCCCUUCCCUCCCAUCUCCUCCCCUCUCUAACCCACUCGAAGCUAGGGUUUAUCCGAAGCUAGGGUUUAGUGAAAAGUAUAACCAAAAAAAAAAAAAAAUCAAAANNNNNNNNNNNNNNNNNNNNNAAUAAUAAUAAUAAUAAUAAUAAUAAUAAUAAAAUAUAUAUAUUUUAUAAAAUAUAUAUAUUUUAUAAAAUAUAUAUUUUUUAUAUUUUUAUUUUAUAAUUAAUAUAGUGUUUUAUAAAUACUAGGAUAUAUAUUAUAUUAUAUACUUAUUAUAUCAAUUUAUUAUAUAAUAUGAUUUUGAUAUAUCUAAUUUAUUUAAAAAUAUAAAUUAUAAUAAUAAUAAAUAUAUUGUGAUAAUUAUUAUAUAUUAAUGAUAUAUAAUAUAUAGAAUAGGAGAAAAUAUAUAAUAGUUUUUUUUAUUUAUCUUUUUCUUAUUUUUUUUUUUUCAACCAAACAACCGUGAUAAAAAAAUUAUUUUUUCUUUUCUAUAAACCAAACACUAAAAAGCAUAAAAGAGUGACAAAGUAAAAAAUUAAAGUUCAUCCUAAUGAAAAAUACGGUAAUGAUUGCGCGUCGUGAAUCAUCACCUUUUCGUUGUCGGAGACUCACCGAACACGUUCACGAUUAAACCUUAAAGUGUCUCGUUUUUUUUUUUUUUUGGUAAGGAGUGUCGUAUCUGUUUAUCGACACUUAUAACGCAAUUUCGACGCACGAGCACGGCAGGUAACAAGUUAAUCGGAACAUUAACGAAAAGUGUAACUCAAAAAAAAAAGAAAAAAACACUCAUAGAAUAUAGCGCAAAAAGAAGUAAACCAUAUGAAAAUUAUUUCAAGUUAAAAAAAAAGAAAAGAAAAGAAAAGAAAAAAUAAAAUGCAAACUCACAAUCUUCGAUCAACACCAUGUUCCAACGCCCCGAGCCCUAAUUCCGUGGUUUUUUUUUAAAAUUUUUUUAAUGCAUCGAUAAAACGGGGAUUUAUUUAUAGAAAACGGUGGUUAAUGUUAUUUGUAUCCUAAUCCCAUAAGAAAUAAUAAUAAAAUAAUUUUAAUUAUUAUUAAAAUUAACGGGUUUGGAUAAUGGGAUUUUACUAUUUAAGUCGGAUUACGAUUCUGGUUUGUUAUUCUUAGUUGGAUUCGAAUUAUGAAUCCGAUACUGAUAUUAGUUUUUUUUUUUUUUUUCAUAUUAUUAAACGUUAUUUUUUUCUUUAGAAUCUUGAAAACAUUUUAUUUUAUUUUUUUUAUUUUUUUAUUUUCCCUCCACUCCUCCCCUUCCCUCCCAUCUCCUCCCCUCUCUAACCCACUCGAAGCUAGGGUUUAUCCGAAGCUAGGGUUUAGUGAAAAGAAUAACCAAAAAAAAAAAAAAAAAAAAAAAAAAAAAAAAAAAAAAAAAAAAAAACCAUAUGAAAAAAAAAAAAUAUCUAAAGUUAAAAAAAAAAGAAUUAAAAGAAAAAAUAAAAUGCGAACUCACGAUCUUCGUUCGACACCAUGUUCCAACGCUCCAAGCCCUAAUUCCGUGGUGUUUUUUUUUUUUUUCUUAAUGCAUGAAUAAAGAGAAGAUUUAUUUAUAGAAAACUGUGAUUAAUAUUAUUCGUAUCCUAAUCCGAUAAGAAAUAAUAAUAAUAAUAAAAAUAAAAAUAAAAAUGUUAUUCGUAUCCUAAUCCGAUGAGAAAUAAUAAAAUAAUUUUAAGUAUUAUUAUUAAAAUUAAUAAUGGGUUUAGAUAAUGGGAUUUUACUAUUUAAGUGUGGGAUUAGGAUUCGAAUUUGUUAUUAUCCUUAUAUUUAUAUUUGGAUUUGGCUUAUCUUAUUAUUCUGUACGUAUCUAGAACUUUUAUUUCUUAAUUUAUUAGAAUCUUCAAAAUAUUUUAAAUCUUUUUUUUUUUUUAUCUUGUUUUUUCCCGCUCCGCUCCUCUUCCCACCUCUCUAGGGUUUAUCCGAAGCGAUCUCGCUCCCCCAAGCCAUGGAGGAGGCCCCAAGGAAGAGGAAUCCUCCCCUGCGGAGGACGAAUCGACUCUCGUAUCGGAGCCGAAGAGGCAGCGGAUCUCCGGUCAGGACGAGGACGGCGGCGGCGGCGGCGGCGGCGGCGGCGGCGGAGGUGAAGGGGGAGAGGCGGAGAACGGGAACAGGGGGUCGCUUCUAGGGCUUGCGGGUUACAAGGGUGAUGAGGAUGAAGAAGAGGGAGAGGGAGAGGGAGAGGGAGAGGGAGAGGGAUUGCCCUUACCUAGACAAUGUUGAUCGCCAGGUUAUACUCUCUCUCUCUCCCUCUCUACAUCUGGAAGCAGAAGCUUUAGAGUUGAUGCUCUUGGUUUUGGGCCCAGAAUCCAUCUUGAAACCUGCUAAAGAAAUGCUUUUUUGAAUCUACUCGUCCGGAGCUUCUAUCAAGCUAAUCUGCGAAGAGAGCUGCUCAUAUUAUUGUUUCCAAUAAAGAACAUGGAAUGUGUUGAGUCUAAAAAUAUUCAUACACCAUUUUCUAGUGACUUAGGGUUAGGGAGCAUUUGGAUUAACGGAGUUUUUGAUUUGGCCUUAAAAAGCAAAUUUCCUACGAGUCGAGAUAUUAGUUUUGUCGUCCAUCAUGAAGACAUAGAGAAGAUCCGGUAGCUAAUCAUUAGCUUAAAUUUUCAGGAACAAUUUCUCUUUGAAAUCGUCUGAAUAUCCCGGCAUUGUGCUAGUUGUUGGGAAGAUCAAUAUUUUUACUAUCGUCGAAGUUGAUUUUCAGCCGAACUGCAACUACAUUAAACCAAUCGCCCCCUUAGGCUUUUAGAGAAGAAUGGUCGUUUUAUAUGCUAUUUGUGGAUUUCAAGUCCAUUUCUGGGGCCCAUCGAAGAGUCUCAAGCCCAGAAACGGGUUUGUAUCAUAGAAUGCGUUUCUUUGGACCGUCUAGCCGCCUGAGCCUUCUUAGUGCUUCAACAUUGAUAUCUUGCAUAGUUUCUCUGCUUCCCUCUACUCAUUUUGUCUUUUGUUUCAUAAUAUUAAUGUUAACGCUUUCAACAAAAUGAGCAACAUGUGAUGACAAGCUAUAAAUCAUAACUUCUAUUUGAGGACAAUAGAAGGAAAGCAUUUUGAUUAGUAGUCUUUUGGUUUUUACUGUCAAGAAGGGGAUUUGAACUAUGAGAACUGGCAUGUUCCUAAAAUAACGUGUUUUAACUCUUAUAUAGAGUCGCAGUGGGUGGGCAUUUAAGUAAUCAUCUUUUCACCAUCUUUGUCAUGAUAAUGACUGUUAUUAUUUAUGCCAUUUUCUAUUCAUAUUAUUGUUGAAUGCCGCUAUUUGAUUCCUGGAAAUAUACAACAGAUAGAAAUAAUGAACUGUCUUCCUGCAAUUUAAUAAUAAAUAAGUAGUUUGUGGGCUACUUGGAGAGUUCUCUUGCUGGUUUGUCUCAUAUUAUUUGUUCAUUCUUUUGCAGGUCUUGAACUUUGAUUUUGAGAAAUUUUGCUCUAUCUCUCUGCCAAAUUUGAACGUAUAUGCAUGCUUAGUUUGUGGGAAGUACUACCAAGGAAGAGGUCUCAAGUCUCAUGCAUAUACACAUAGCCUUGAAGCAGGCCACCAUGUUUAUAUUAAUCUCGAGACCGAGAAAGUCUAUUGUCCUGCUGAUGGAUGCGAGAUAAAUGAUCCAUCAUUACAUGAUAUCCGACACGUUCUUAACCCAAGGUAUUGCAGCUGGUUACUUCAUGCUUUUAGCAGUAUUACUUGUAUGAUUAGCUAUAUCAUGUAUUCCUUGCUGGUCAAAUAUUCAAAUCCUUGUUUAAUGUGUUCCUUCUAGUUUAUUACUAUUUCUAGGUUUAGAUCUAAAUUGAUAUAACUGGAUUGAGAUGAACUUUUUCCAUGUUGUCGAAUUUAUAUGUAGAUGCUCAAGUUUAGUUUCUUUUCCUAUUGCAAAAUUGGAAGGAAAAGUGGGUAGGAAGAGGAAUUCUUACAUCCCUAAAUUGAGCUGUUAGUAGAAGAUUAAAAGUGUCGUCACUCUUUUUUGUAUGUGCUUUUCAUUGAUAUUGAAGAGGCAAUUUUUUUCAAUAGGCAGUAAGUAUGUGCUUUUCAUUGAUAUUGAAGAGGCAAAUUUUUUCCAGUAGGCGGUAAGUAGAAAAACUUGCUCUCUUGUAGGCAUGCUGCUUUUAGUACUUUUUUUUUUAGAUUAAGAUUGUGAAAAUGUUAAUCUUCUGCUUCUCAUUAGAUGAAUGGAUUCUAGCGAUUAGACAAAGAAAUAAAAAGAAAAGGUGCAGGAUUUGUUAUUACAAGGAAAGCUUUAUAUGAAGUCACUAAAUCUACUAAAUCCACUUACAAGGAAAGCUUUAUAUGAAGUCAACUAAAUCUACUAAAUCCACUUCUAAUAAUAAGUGCUCUUCUUUGUCUUCAUUUUCAAAUGAAUACUUUUCUUCCUGAUAUUAAACUUAUGAUUUCAAAUAUUUAUGGUUUGAGCAUUGUUAAUCUCUCAAAGCUUGUCAAAGUAGCAUGCGGAAUAUACUUCUUUCCCCUUUAAUAUAGCUGUUUGCAAACAUAUAUUCUUUUAGUUUUUAAUAUAUGCUUGUGUUUUUCUGCUAUCUAUCUUGUUUACGCAUCAUUUCCAUUUUCAUUAGAAUUUUAAUCUAUUCUGGUUACUAAAUUAUUUUACUUUCAUGUGUAGAUUCUCUAGAGAGCAAGUCCUACAUCUUGAUGAAAAUAGGCAAUGGUCAAGAGCACUUGACGGCUCCAAUUAUCUCCCUGGAAUGGUAAAUUUCCAUGCAUUUUGUGCAAAUUUCUCCCCGCACACAUAAAUACUCAUAGAAAGAAAGAAACGUAAAGUCAUUUCGGAGAGAAAUAUCAAUACUUGUGGUUAUGCAUACUUGUGAAAGUUUGCAAAUGAUAUUCGAUGCCAUGGUAUGCUGAAAAUAGUGUAAAUGAUAAUUCGAUGCCAUGGUAUGCUUAAAAUAGUAGUCCAUUACUUCUAGGUCAGAUUAUGAGGUAAAAAGCAUACAGCAGAAAUAUAUGCUGAAUGGUAUUUUGCUUACUGUUGCCUUUCUUCUUUUUUUCCCCCCUUCAAUCAAUGAAGGAAAAUUCAACGUCAAAACUAAAUAUAUAGUUUUUCUUCGUCUUCGUCUAGACUCUAGACCUCUUGCAUGUUUGUGGAAUUAUUGAUGGCUGAUAAUUUGUCUCUAUUUUAUUGUGCCAAGAAUUUUUUAACAAUCACAAAUGAAUUUCUUAUCAAUUUAAUGAGAGUUGAUGACUUGACAACUGGUUUAAAGGGAGGCUGAGCACUAACUUUGCUCUUGCUAAAAUGUAGUUACAUCACUUUUUUUGGGGGGGUUAUUAUGUUUAGGUUGUUAUCUUGAUUAUUUACAUGGAUUAGUUAAUUAGAAAGCAAAAACAGCCUUUAUCUAUAUGUCUAUUUACUGAUGCUGACAUGAGAUGAUAAUAUUUGAAGCAAAUACAAGAGUACCGCUUAUAUCGCAAUUCAUAGAAACCCAUGAAGAAAUUAUAAAUUCUGCAUCUGUGCUACUUGUAAUAGAAUUCAUAGAAAUUGGAACCAAUAUAUAUAUAUAUUUCUGAAUGAUUGCGUCAUGUUUUCAGUUGUUCAACUCCAGGGACAGUUGAUUUGUAUUGAAACAAUCCAGGCAGAAUAUUCUUUAUGUCAAUCCUGGGAUAGUUCAAUAGUAAUCUUUUCUUUAUCUUGUUCUUUUUUAAAAAAAUUUCAGGUGGUCUUAAUAACAUUAAGGAGACUGAUUUUGUUAAUGUCACAAUACAAUCCUUAAUAAGAGUCACUCCCUAUCAACAUAGCAAGUCCCCCCUCGAUCAUCAUUUUGGAGAACUGACUCGCAAGAUUAGGCAUGCAAGGAACUUCAAGAGGCAGGUUGAUUUUUCCAGCUUUUAGUUAACUACCUAAAAGUCACGUUUGGUGCCCAGGAUUGGAUUAGAUAGGAUAAGAAGAGCAUUUGAUGUUGGACAGAGGGUUCACUGACUUGGAGGUCUCAGAGGGUCGCAAUAGGUGGGGAGUCCAGUGAUGUACAGCAGGAGUUUUUCGCCACUUCCAACUGCCUCCAAGUUGCUAUAUCUUCGCACCAACAUCGCUCUAUCAUUUUAUACAGGUACAAUCCAAUCCUGGCUGCCAAGUGGGCAUUUCGAGACAUGCAACAGAUUCUUUUCUUUUGGCCGUAACUCUGUCCGUCUUCAGGUCAGUCCACAUGAGUUCCUGCAGGCAGUUAUGAAGGCCAGUGAUAAGAGGUUUCAAAUUGGUGCACAGUCCGAUCCUGUGGAGGUUGUGUCCUGGCUUUUGAAUACACUGCAUGCAAAAUUAAGGAGCUCGAAGAAGGAAAAUAGGAGCAUUAUACAUGACUUCUAUCAGGUUUUGGUUGCACAACUUUUUCUCUCUUUUUUUCCUGGGGUUAUUAUGUAUAUAUCCUACAAAAUUUCCUAUUUACAUAUUUAUCUCCCAUAUAAUCUGAAUUUUCUCAUAUACUUCUUGAAAGUGCAUUUUCUUGCAAAAAUGUCAUCUCCAAUUCAUUGGAGAGAGUUGGCUUAGUGUUGGAAAAUGUUUUUAAGCAGUACUUUAGUAAGUACAAGGGUAGCAAAAAUGACUGUGAAGGGAAAAUAGGAAAAAUUCAAAUUUUGCGAGGACAUACAUGUAAAAAAAAAAAACUCUUUUUUUUGGGUUCAGUGUCGUCUUGUAUCAUACGUAUGACAGAAGGAUUGUGGCAGGGGGAACUUGAAGCUGUUAAGGAGAUCCAUAAAAUGACCUCUUCUGGAAAAGAAAGAGAAUGGUGAAGCGGAGAACCGCGUAGCUGUUUCAGAGGGUGGAGCAACAAAUGUGAAUGUCGUGGCAGAAGUGUCUAGAGUGCCAUUAUUCUUUGGUAUUUCACCCUUUAUCUGACUGAUGGGUUAGAAGUGAAAUUAUAUGAUUUGAUCAAACUGUGACCAUUAUCGAAAAAAAUAUUACAACUGUUUCAGGAUAAAUAGCUCCAGGUGAUAAUGGUACCCCAACAAUUAUCAGUUUAUACGAGGUAAGAGAAAGCGAGUGGAAUUCUAUUGUUAUAGUUAUUACACCAUCCAUCAAUUGAAAUAAUGGCUCCAAAGAAUACUGUGCUUCCUACUUAGGCUUGAAUCUGUUACUUCCUUGCAUUCCACACUAUCACUAAUAAGAAGUGCAUGUUUGUCCUUGUAAAGAGGCAGGUGACGAAACUUGAAAAAAAUCCUAUCCCUCUGUUAGUCUUUUGUCUUAAAGAAUUCUAUUUGUGAUGUAUUCUCUAUGAUAAACGUUGCAGGUAUGAGAUUAAAGUGAGGGAGCAACAAGAAUCAUUAAGAAACCAGAGGAAAUUACAGGUUUGAAAUUAGAAUCUUUACAAAUUUUCCACCUCUUAAAUGGCAACUUGCCUUAUUUUAAUUAGGAUUAGCAGGUUGUUUACAUUGCCUACCAAAGCCUCGUUGGGUUAUGCUUACUUUUAUGUUUUUUUUUUUCAAAAACCAAAUUGUAUACAAUUGAAUGCACUAGUGUAUGAUUGAUUGGUUGCAAUCCGUUCAUAUAUGGUGUUUGUUUGCCAUUAAAGCGAAAAAAUUUACUUUUUGGUUGCGAUUUUGUUUUCCUUAACUUCUCUGUUCUUAUUAUUGUCGUGAGCUUGCAAACUUGGUAGUUUUUUUUUUUUUUUUUUUUUUUUUAAAGCAAAAAAGAAGUUAGUAUUAAAUAUUUGUUUUUGUUGUCAAACAAAUCCAAUGGAUGUAUAGAUUGCAAGCAACAUGUCGUCCGCCAAUGUAUUCCAAUGAAUAGAAUCUUAAAUUUUAAAAAAAAGGGCAUCACUAACCGUUAACAAAAUGAGGCUUAAAAAAAAAUAAUAAUAAUAAUGGGGAAAAAGAAAAAUCACUAACCAAUGUACUGUAACCUAAUGAGGCCUACUAGUUUAGUUUCCUGAUUUAGAUAUAGCCACUUUCUUUAUUGGCUUUCUCAUAAGCUAUCUUCUGGCAUCCUCAGUAAAGUUUAUUGUGAAUAUUUUAACCUAAUCAGGUGACUUAAGAGCCGUUGCUGUAACAAAUGAAUCCUUUGUAUGCUUGAUUCUAAAAUUUCAGUUUCCAAUUUUUUUGUGGUUUAUGCAUGCAGUAAUUAUUUCUGUUAAAUAAAGUCUUCUCCAUAUAUGUUCAGCUAUAUCUCCGACAUAUCUGUGACGUUAAAAUGUUUGUUGUAAAUUUGUAGGUCGGUACUGGUGUUCGUGCAGAAAAGAUAAGGACAUACAAUUACAAGGUCAGAAAUAAUUUUUCUAUCACUUCUAGACUCAUGAGCUAAUAUUACAUGAUUUCCCAUUACAUGCAUGAGGAUAAGACUAGCUGCGCAUUUCAAGUAGUUAAUAUUAAAUUUUCUUUGGCAGGGACCUUAUUCUUUAUUAAUCAUAGGAGCUGGGAUUUUUAAUCUUCAGAAACUUACUAAAACUUGUAUAUGGUUUUGUAGGACAACAGAGUAACUGACCACAGAUUGAAGAUGAAUUUUGAGCUUACAUCCUUCCUUUCAGGAGAUAUUGAGACAGCGGUUCAGGUAUGCCUUCGCAAGGAAUGCCUUUCUUUUUUCAGAUGUUAAGGUAUAGCUUAGUUUGACAAAGAAUGUUAGCCCCAAACAGAGCUGAAUACAGAGAAACAUUGAUAUAAUCGACCAAUAUGAUAGUAGGGCUUCAUCCUAGUUGUAACAUGCUUGGUAAAUAUAUAAAAAAGGUUACCAAAAUGAGUUGCAUUAUUAAAAUGUCAAAACCUCUGGUCUUUGGUGGUUUGGGCUUGCUAUACAAAGCCUUAAGGGUGGAGAAAUGAGUAUCAGCAUGCAUGUAAUUUUCUAGAUUUUUGCUUGAUGAGUUGUAACUUCUCAAAUGAGGAAAUUGAUUAACACAACCUUUUCGCAUAUUGUGGAAUAUGAAAGAAAAUAUAAAAACAUCGCUUUAUACCAUCUCAAGUUUUUGGAGAACAAUGGUUAUUUCAUAAAACUUAACAUGGUAUUAGAGUAGAAAAUCCUGAGUUUGAGUCCUGCCGGGCUUCUGGUGUUAUUUAAUUUCCUCUUAUUUAGCUUAACUCCAUGUCUUGGCUCUAUCAAAAAAUUUCAAGUCCAAACAUAAUGAAGAGUGUUGAAUAUAAAAAAUAUAGGUUUUCCUUUAUUAAUUGUUUAGGUGUAAAAGAAUCGGUCCAAAGUGCCAAAAUGUGCAAAUUUAGAAUAAGUAAACAGAGAGACAUAGGCUUGGGGGAAGGUGAGGAGGUAGAGAAGUUUCAUUCCCCAAAAUCUAAACAUGUCACGAUUCGAGUGUAUGUGAUACUCCAGGGAGAAAGUUUUUUGGGGUAGUAUUUCCCCAAAAGAACAAAAUAUGCUCGACGAAUUUGAGUUCGGAGUUUUCAUUCCCCUAAAUAUGCUUUUCCUGCAGGGAUGUGCAGCCAUGGAGCAGAAGGAACUGCUGGAGGAAAUGGCCGAGUCGGUUGGUUGGACAGCUACUUGAUCAAAUAGUUUAUCUAUCCGAUUCUCGCUGAUAGCGAGCCUCUGAUUCCGGGUUCUCAAGAAACUUGAUCAAAGCGGCCUGAUCUCGCCAAUCCAUAUCCUAACCUCUCGGAAGUUGAUUCCUGAAGCAAUGAUUCUCGGAGAUUAUUGGCGCUCUUGUUGACAGGAAAUCACUUGUUUCUGUUCACAGACUUGAACAGUUACUCAUUUGUAGUGGCUAUUGUAAUUUUAAGCUGAAAUUUUGAUUGAGAAAUACAUUGUCUUUUGCUAAUGACCAAGUUGCCGAACAUACACGAAGAUGUCGUUAUUUACGUUAACUAUGGCCGUUUCAGAUGAUCAACUUUUAAAAGUUUUUGCUUUGCUACGUAGUCUCUCGUUUCGUUUGGUUUUAAUCAUUUGAUGGCUCUUCUGUAACAUAACUGUGUUAAAAUUCCAUUGAAUAUUAUUUAUAAGUAAAAAUAUAUAAGUAUGUCGCAAAAUUUAAUGAAACAUCUCGUCGUCAGAGUUUCAUCUUAAUCAACCUAUAAAAUGAGAUGUAUCAAAUUUUACACAAAGUUAAAAUCUACAUUAAAGAGAAAAUCGCCGCCCUCAGAAAGGCAUAUAAACCUCGAAAGAUGUAACAGUAUCUCGUUCUUAUGCCGUCAGAUUCGCCGUCAGAACAAAACUUUAGAAACUUUUGUUUCAAAGAAAGGAAACAGAACCGCCGUUCUUGUGCUGUCAGAUUUGCCGUCAGAACAAAACUUCAGAAACUUUUGUUUCAAAGAAAGGAGAGAGAGCCGCCGAUCAAGCCAAGUAUCUGAACAAGCUAGGGUUAUCGUCAUCUCUCUCCAAAUACUCUCUCGUGAUGAGAUCCUCGAUCCGCUUCUUUAUCACCUUCAAGUCCGGCUAUGAAUCGCAAACACAAUAAAAGAUGUCUCUCUCGGUAAAAGAAUACUACGAAAAUAAAAUGCAACAUAACAUUGUGCGAAAUACAACCUCAAACACAGUAAUAUCUAUCGCAAAUUUUGGUUUAGCAUAGCCUUGUAAAUGGAACUUGUGAUUCUUUUAAUUCUCUCAGAAACCAAAUCUUACGGUGAUGCAUCCCCAUCUCCUACUGAACCAAUCAACUUAUCACCGGUGUUUCGAAUUUGUAAUUUUUUUUACCUUCUUUUCACUAUUUAUGUCGGACAAUAUGCUAAUUUGUCGUAUAUAAGAGAUAUAUAAGUUUCUACUGAUCCCUAAUAUAGAUAUUAGAGAGUACUAGCAUUAUAUAAUUCCGAUUAUUACAACCAAAUAAACCAAGUGAUUAAUGAUAAAAAUUUUAUAAAUCAUAAAUCCUGGCUCUAGUUAGGCUCAUAUUAACUUGCAGUUACAUAUUUCGGCCAUUAUUAGCAAAAAUUGAGGGUUUCAGAAUGUUGGUUCUGUCGGUUUAACUAAAUUGUAUCAUGCCAACAAGUAAAAGUCACUAAGAAGGAAUAAAAGCAUGAACAUGAUCAUUAAGAAGUUCGGAGAAAAGAGAAGUACCUUGAACAUGUGACUGAGCUGUUCGAUGCAUUCCGUUACCAGCUGUUGAUGGCCUAAAACUUUACGGCUCUUCAUGAUACGCACGAUUGCGGCAUCGAUAGAAAAUCUUCUGUCCUUGUCGACAUCUUCGAUUAUUUUCUUCUUCUCCUCUAAUAGGGGGAGAGGUAUCUGUAACCCAAAUAAGUCAUAUUAAUGUAUACAUGACACACUAUACGAGGACAACAGAUGGAUGGUUUUUCUCUAAUUUUUUUU